AAAACAGGAAUCCAAAAGAAGAAACUACCUGCUUUCCAGAGCUGCUGAGAUUCUUUGAAAGGAUGGGGAACUGCCUACCAAAAAAGAGCAGAGAAUCAUUUGCCUACUGGAGGAGGAGGAGGAGACGUCCACACCAGCACAUCUCACCUAGGAACCCCCAUCGUGGACCAAGACCCUGCUAUGGAUAAUCUUGAAGAAACAGACUUGACUCAUCCUAAUGAGAUAUGCUACGCCACCAUCAAUUAUAGCCUUAAGGAAAAACCUGCCAUGCUAAACAGCAGCAACCAUGAAACUGAAUAUGCCUUCAUCAGCAUGCCUGCCAAGAAAAUGACUUUUACCAGUCACCAGGACAAUGAAUAUGAUUUUGUCCUGAUAAGUUAGAAAACCUGCACCUCUCUUUACUGCACUAAAGGACCCUGCAUAUUCUAAGCAACUAGGAUGCUGUCUUCCAAACCAUUUUCUCAGUAACAUCAACACUUACAAUAAACCCAGGGGCAUCCCUUUAACAUAUACAGCCUAUACUUUAGGGUAGUUCUGCCAUCCACUGUUCAAGUGACUCAUUUUACCAUAAAAGAUUUAACACAAUUAAAUUUACACAACAUGCACAACAUGAUGCUGGGACUAGUUGGGUAACAAAGCAACACGAAUCAACAGUAUCUGCCCAUUGCAAGAUGGUAUAGUAGUUUAGGAGCUUCAUUAUUAGAAGCUGUUAAGGCUUUCAGUCCUCUUUGCAGAGUUUUAAAUAAUUGCACAAAUUAUUUUAGAAUAGGACUAGUGAAAAUUUCCAGUGACCCAAGUGUGGGUGAAAAUUUCAGUGACUCUGGUAAAACCUCACCGGAAUGCUUGUUUUCUUAAAUCAUAAAUCAAAGACUUAGAGUGCCCUUGCACUGGCUGAUCUUGAUGUAGGAUGGUGUGGGGACAGAGCCCUGGUGGUUAAUCUGACCAUUUGUACAGUGGUUUUACAACCUGUGACCCAGAUCUCAGAGAAGUCUUAAUGAAGUUGCAUUUGAAUGAAGAAAUAAAAUUGCAUUGCUGAUGAUUCAUGCGCAAAUAAUGGUAUAGCUAUUCAUACUCACUGCCAUCACCUAAAAGUGGAUGAAGCCUACCAGGGAACCUAAUGCUGCCUUCAAAUGCACAUGUGCUUUUCCCAUUAUUUCCAAUAGGAGCUCCGCUGGCACACAGCACUUGCAAUUCACUGCACUCCUGGCUUGCAGCACCAUAUUGCAAAUUUGGGCUGUUUGUGACAAGGGGACUGACAGCACAGCCUACAGAUGGAGUCAGAACUUCUGCCUGCAGUUUUGAAAAUGUCACCAGUCCUGGCCAGCAGGAGCCUUACCUCCAUACUAUUCCAGUCCUGGGAUUUUUCAGAGACAGACAAAUAUGACAUUUUUGAGAGGGAUAAAGGUCUACAGACUACUAGAUGAGACAGCUGAACUCAUUUUCUCUUGAAACUUCAGCGAGACUGAAACUGAGUAUUAAACAGAUUAGAAGGGUUAAUGCUGUGACACUAAGCCCCCUGUAUCCUUGCCUGGACAUUUGAAUGUCUCCGAAUUCUGUCUUUUUUCUGGUUUUGAAAUUCCCAUGUACAUAAUUGCUGACAAUACCUCCGGCAUUUGUGUGCCUAACUUCUCCCUCGCUUGCAGCUCAUUCAUCUUAAUACCAUCACAUCUCCACGCUACUCCUUUGGAAAGACAGCUAGGACUCAUGGAAACUCAGCCAGCCUUGCACAGACAUUGCUAAAGCAAUGGCAAGACAGUCUUAUCUGCAUCUGGAGUUUCUGCACACCAGCAGAGAGGAGAGCUGCAUUUAGAGCAGUGUAUAAAACGUGCUACCAUUGGUUGUUGUACAGAGGACAAUAGAGUUAUUACUAGCCAAAU